UACGUAGGGGGCAAGCGUUGUCCGGAUUUAUUGGGCGUAAAGAGCGUGUAGGCGGCUGGGUAGGUCCGUUGUGAAAACUCGAGGCUCAACCUCGAGACGCCGAUGGAAACCCUCCAGCUAGAGUCCGGAAGAGGAGAGUGGAAUUCCUGGUGUAGCGGUGAAAUGCGCAGAUAUCAGGAAGAACACCCGUGGCUAAGGCGGCUUGCCAGAACGCGCUCGACGGUGAGGGAUGAAAGCUGGGGGAGCAAACCGG
rnacentral:rRNA from 1 species